GUGGCGCUUGCGACCCCUGCACACACGGAGGCUUCGUACAGGGCGUACCUGAGCUGGUACCAGCCUCAGACUCGUUGCCGCUUGAUAUAUGCUGACAUGCAACCACAGCCGCAUGUUGCGACAGCACAGGAUGGGUACGCACGACAUAGGGACGAAGCAUUAGCUGGGGCGUUUGAAAUGUGCAGGUUGAUGGACUUAGAUGCCAGGGCGAAUUUGAUGAGAAUUCGAGGGGGAUCUAUGAUGGAUAGGAAUGAGCAAGAGUCAGCCUGGACCCGAGUUUCACAAAGAUCUCAUUCCAUGCUUGAAGCCUUUGGUAGCCGGACAUCGUACUAUGACUCGUACGGUUCGUCUCAAGCCUCGACGUCGUUUCCUUGUGGUACCACACAGCAGCAGUCUUCCCAAGCACCUUAUUGGUCUCAGCAGCAUUAUCCAGGUGAUGCACACCCACCUUACCAACCUCACGGAGGGACUCAGUUUAGUACCAUGGCACCAGCUGCAGGGAUGUCAUUUCAACCAACAUAGGCACCACCACGACCUUUUGGAUCACAACAGGGGUAUGAUGCUGGACCUUCUUCGUAUUACCCUACGGCGACAGCAG